rnacentral:rRNA from 1 species
UAGCGGGAGGCUUAAUACAUGCAAGUCGAGCGAGAAGGUUUUCUUCGGAAGACUGGACAGCGGCGCACGGGUGAGUAACGCGUACGCAAUCUACCUCAUAGAGGGGAAUAGCCCCGGGAAACUGGGAUUAAUGCCCCAUGGCAUUAUGAAGUGGCAUCACUUUAUAAUUAAAGAUCCGUCGCUAUGAGAUGAGCGUGCGUGCUAUUAGCUAG